rnacentral:lncRNA from 1 species
UCUGACCAGGAGCACCCUGUGCAGUGCACUCCGUCAGAAGGCGCACAAACCGCAACCUCUCCCUGACAUGCCAUGUUUUUAACCCUGCGGAAAAGUUGGGGAAAUCUCUUUGUGAGCAGGAACAAAAGCAUCUGUACAAACCAGAAACAGAAUUAUGGCAGCUCACCAACGUGCGCGUGAACGAGAUAUGCAACGGUUAGAUUUGGAUACUUCUUGUCUGCGCAGAUGACUCGGGUGCAGUCCCGUUAAGAAACCGAUGCCUUUCAAGGGAUAUCCGAAAUGCCGAACGUGGCAGUAAGCUUUCAGGGGAGCAGCGAUCAGAUAAUUCAUGUAGGACUCAAUUUCAUGACUGCCAUAACUAU